GGAAGGUAGCGUGUAGUGGUACACAACAAGACUUGAAAUCUUGAGCGGGCAACAAUGCCAGGGUUCGAUUCCUAUACCUUCCG
rnacentral:tRNA from 1 species